rnacentral:rRNA from 1 species
GUGCCAGCCGCCGCGGUAAGACAGAGGGUGCAAACGUUGUUCGGAAUUACUGGGCGUAAAGCGCGUGUAGGCGGUUUCGCAAGUCGGAUGUGAAAUCCCGUGGCUCAACCAUGGAAGUGCACUCGAAACUGCGUGACUAGAGUUCUGGAGAGGAAGGUGGAAUGCUUGGUGUAGAGGUGAAAUUCGUAGAUAUCAAGCAGAACACCGGUGGCGAAGGCGACCUUCUGGACAGUGACUGACGCUGAGACGCGAAAGCGUGGGGAGCAAACAGGAUUAGAAACCCCCGUAGUCC